UGUUUAUCAACAUGUGAAAUCAAUGUGUAUUUCAGGAGUAGAAGAUCAAUAAUUCACAACAUACAAUGCGGCAUGCAGUCUGGUCAUCAAUGGAGAGUUUUGACACCUGUAUACCUGUAUUCUACCAGUCAUCUUUGUAGCCUUUGUUGUGUUCAUCAGACAGGGUUUAGGUGAAAGUGGUCUGUCACUGAGUCAACAAUUACUGUAGCCAAUAGUUGGUGCCAUUCACAAGCAGAAUAAUAUACAUAAAGCCUGAACAUCCAUCAUGUUUGAUCUUAAACUACCAGACUAUCAGUGUUGGACAACUGGAGCCUUGCCUAGUAUUACUCAAAUUUGAGCUAUGGGGAUAGAGUCCAGAGAUAUUUUCCCUAUGGAUGUGUUUCAAAGAAUUCUGAUGGACCUUGGAGCAGUGUCAGUUAUGGGAGAUAAUUUCACUACUUGUGUUUUUCCAAAAGUUUCCAUGUGACGUAGAGAUGGACUCAGGAUAUUUUCUUGCUACCCAUGUUUUUCCAAGAAUUUCCAUGUUGCCUGAAGCAGGACAAACUACCAGGAAUACUAUGUGAAGGAUCCUUUAUAGUAUUUGGAUGGUUGUGGGAAUUUGAUGUAUUAUUGUAGUGUAUAACCAUGACAUUUUUCAUGAUAUAUGUAGGAUAAUAGAAGAAUUCAUUUUGCUAGAUAAUUGUUUAAGAAUACUUAAGCUUACUGUUUUAUCUGAA